rnacentral:rRNA from 1 species
UACGGAGGGUGCGAGCGUUGUCCGGAAUUACUGGGCGUAAAGCGUGCGUAGACGGUUGCAUAAGUCGGAUGUGAAAUCCCCGGGCUCAACCUGGGAAUUGCAUUCGAGACUGUGUAGCUGGGGUGCGGAAGAGGGAAGCGGAAUUUCCGGUGUAGCGGUGAAAUGCGUAGAUAUCGGAAGGAACAUCAGUGGCGAAAGCGGCUUCCUGGUCCAGCACCGACGUUCAGGCACGAAAGCGUGGGGAGCAAACAGG